GGGGAUGUGGUGAAGCCUGGAGUUCACGCCUGGUUGUCAGCCAGGAGGUCGCGGGUUCGAAUCCCGUCAUCCCCG
rnacentral:tRNA from 2 species